GUUUUUUUAAGCAAAUAUUAGAAAAUAUUCAGUCUCCUCCACUGACCAGUUUCACGUAAAGCACCCCUUUAAAUUUUAUGAAUCAAACUCUGUCAAAUCGUUUACAUGAAGACUUUUGAGUCCGAUUGAGCCAUCGAUCCAACUCUAAACGGAUCGUUGGGGUGCAUGUAAAUGUUGCUAUUGAUGUGAGAAGAGUGAGUUGCUUUAGUAAAGUCAGAGAUUUUGAUGAAAGGAUUUGAAGAAUGUGAACAGACGUGUAAGUGAGAGAUGGUAACCCACAUGUUGUGCAGAGGCCAGCUUGACGAAUGCACUGCAGCCGCCCUGGACACUGACGGCCAUAACGCUUAUCAUGGAGAAAUUGUUUCUACACAUCUCAAAAGUCUUCCUGAAUUUGUGAUUUUUAAUUUUUUUUUUCUCUCAGAGAAAGUGAUCCUUUGUUACGAAGAAUUGCACUGACUAUUUUAUUUCUACAUUUUUUGUUUGUUGGUUUUUAUUCGUAGUUAUAGCUUCACUCACAUAACAUGAGCUGAUGAUGUGAGUGGCUUCUAGGUGGUUCCCCUUUUAACUAGUCCUUAUCUUAACCAGUGUUAGAGAGAAACUGGUAGCAGAUCAGAUUAAAAGAGCAACGUCCAUUCAUGCCCAAGAUUUUUAGGUGACACUUAUUUUAUUUGUAUUAGGGCAAGAAUGACUUACUGAAGACACAGGAAGUGGAAGGAGACACCAGCAUUGUCACACUAGAGCUGUUUAUUGUUAUUGUUGUCUAUGAUGAUGAUGAUGAUGAUGUUGAUAUUGUUGACCCACUAUGGUGUAUUGUAAAACAUUACUGUUGUGAUGCUCUAGUGGUAAAUAAAUUAUUUAAGUGACAA